UUUGGAAGGAGGGAGUAUAUGAUAAGGACAUUUUUUUAAUAAAUAGUUGCCUCUGGUAAAACAUGCAUGGUGUGGGUAUAAUCAAAGCGAAAAACUGUAUAUUAAUAAAGCAGAUGCGAAUAAAAAUACAUUUGUGAUAUUCAAUUGUCUAGACUGAAUAAAUAAAAGUUAGAAAAUCUAGUUGGACUACGGAAACCCUUGAUUAACAGGAAUAUGUACGUACCUUUUGAUAAUUAUACUAUAUACACUAUCCACUACACCACAGCUUUGCUUAAUUAAUUAGGAAUCUAGCUAGCUAUUUCAUGCAUCUGUUU
rnacentral:lncRNA from 1 species